GGGCAGGUGGCAGAGCGGUUCAAUGCUCCGGUCUUGAAAACCGGUGGACCUUCACGGGUCCCGUGGGUUCGAAUCCCACCCUGCCCG
rnacentral:tRNA from 1 species